rnacentral:rRNA from 1 species
CCUGUGAACAUACCUUAAUGUUGCCUCGGCGGAUCAGCCCGCGCCCCGUAAAACGGGACGGCCCGCCAGAGGACCCAAACUCUAAUGUUUCUUAUUGUAACUUCUGAGUAAAACAAACAAAUAAAUCAAAACUUUCAACAACGGAUCUCUUGGUUCUGGCAUCGAUGAAGAACGCAGCGAAAUGCGAUAAGUAAUGUGAAUUGCAGAAUUCAGUGAAUCAUCGAAUCUUUGAACGCACAUUGCGCCCCUUGGUAUUCCGGGGGGCAUGCCUGUUCGAGCGUCAUUUCAACCCUCAAGCUUAGCUUGGUAUUGAGUCUAUGUCAGUAAUGGCAGGCUCUAAAAUCAGUGGCGGCGCCGCUGGGUCCUGAACGUAGUAAUAUCUCUNGUUACAGGUUCUCGGUGUGCUUCUGCCAAAACCCAAAUUUUUCUAUGGUUGACCUCGGAUCAGGUAGGGAUACCCGCUGAACUUAAGCAUAUCAAUAAGCGGAGGA